GACGAACGCUGGCGGCGUGCUUAACACAUGCAAGUCGAGCGGUAAGGCCUCUUCGGGGGUACACGAGCGGCGAACGGGUGAGUAACACGUGGGUGACCUGCCCUCAGCUCUGGGAUAAGCCUGGGAAACUGGGUCUAAUACCGGAUAUGACCUUUCCUCGCAUGGGGUUUGGUGGAAAGUUUUUUCGGCUGGGGAUGGGCCCGCGGCCUAUCAGCUUGUUGGUGGGGUGAUGGCCUACCAAGGCGACGACGGGUAGCCGGCCUGAGAGGGCGACCGGCCACACUGGGACUGAGGCACGGCCCGGACACCUACGGGAAGCAGCAGUGGGGUAUAUUGCGCAAUGGGCGGGAGCCUGACGCAGCGACGCCGCGUGGGGGAUGACGGCCUUCGGGUUGUAAACCUCUUUCGACCCCGACGAAUUUGGACGGUAGGGGUAGAAGAAGCACCGGCCAACUACGUG
rnacentral:rRNA from 1 species